rnacentral:lncRNA from 1 species
UGGGCCAAAACAGAAAGGCCCGGAGACAAAUCCAACUAGGUCAGCUUAAAACGGAAAAAAGAAAAAGAAGCGUUAUUUUUUCAACAGCCUUUCUCUCUCUUCAAUUUCCCAGCCGCUCACAACACUAUGUAAACCCUAAAGACUUUCUUCCUGGAGAAGACAGCCGAAGGCGGCGGCUCACGGCGGAGCCUCCGCUCUUCUCCGUCGCUUCACUCUCUCUCUCUCUCCUAACUCUAUUUCACGAACCACUUCCCUUUUUCUCUUUCUCAUAAUUUUGAGACACACAACAUAAAAACAUGCGAAAACAAACUCAACCAAAAAUGAUUCUCAAACACGCACACAGCAGAAUCUCAUAAAAUUUCAGAGGAAAUUAGCUAUCAACUACCACAGAUUUAGUUCAACAC